GACAGAGGUGCCAAGCGUUAGGCGGAAUCACUGGGCUUAAAGCGUGUGUAGGCGGAUCGUUAAGUGUCUUGUGAAAUCCCACGGCUCAACCGUGGAACUGCUCGACAUACUGGCGAUCUUGAGCAACCUAGGGGCGAGCGGAACAAAUGGUGGAGCGGUGAAAUGCGUAGAUAUCACUUGGAACGCCAACAGUGAAAACAGCUCGCUGGGGAUGUACUGACGCUGAGACACGAAAGCCAGGGGAGCAAACGGG
rnacentral:rRNA from 1 species